GACGAACGCUGGCGGCGUGCCUAAUACAUGCAAGUUGAGCGAUGAAGAUUGGUGCUUGCCCCAAUUUGAAGAGCAGCGAACGGGUGAGUAACGCGUGGGGAAUCUGCCUUUGAGCGGGGGACAACAUUUGGAAACGAAUGCUAAUACCGCAUAAUAACUUUAAACAUAAGUUUUAAGUUUGAAAGAUGCAAUUGCAUCACUCAAAGAUGAUCCCGCGUUGUAUUAGCUAGUUGGUGAGGUAAAGGCUCACCAAGGCGAUGAUACAUAGCCGACCUGAGAGGGUGAUCGGCCACAUUGGGACUGAGACACGGCCCAAACUCCUACGGGAGGCAGCAGUAGGGAAUCUUCGGCAAUGGACGAAAGUCUGACCGAGCAACGCCGCGUGAGUGAAGAAGGGUUUCGGAUCGUAAAACUCUGUUGGUAGAGAAGAACGUUGGUGAGAGUGGAAAGCUCAUCAAGUGACGGUAACUACACAGAAAGGGACGGCUAACUACGUG
rnacentral:rRNA from 1 species